rnacentral:rRNA from 1 species
AAGCUCGUAGUUGAAUUUCGGGGUUCUACCGUUGGUCGGGCUAACCAGUCUGUACUAGCGUGUAGAAUUCCUACCUUCUGGGGAACCAUCAUGUUAUUAAUUUAGCGUGGUGGGAAACCAGGACCUUUACCUUGAAAAAAUUAGAGUGUUCAAAGCAGGCUUACGUCUGAAUACAUUAGCAUGGAAUAAUAAAAUAGGACGGUGGUCCUGUUUUGUUGGUUUCUGAAUCACCGUAAUGAUUAAUAGGGAUAUUGGG